rnacentral:rRNA from 1 species
UUUCAGUAGGGAAGAAGCGAAAGUGACGGUACCUGCAGAAGAAGCACCGGCUAACUACGUGCCAGCAGCCGCGGUAAUACGUAGGGUGCGAGCGUUAUCCGGAAUUAAUGGGCGUAAAGAGCUCGUAGGCGGUUUGUCGCGUCUGUCGUGAAAGUCCGGGGCUUAACCCCGGAUCUGCGGUGGGUGCGGGCAGACUAGAGUGCAGUAGGGGAGACUGGAAUUCCUGGUGUAGCGGUGGAAUGCGCAGAUAUCAGGAGGAACACCAGUGGCGAAGGCGCCACUCUGGGCCGUAACUGACGCUGAGGAGCGAAAGCAUGGGUAGCAAACAGGAUUAGAUACCCUGGUAGUCCAUGCCGUAAACGUUGGGCACUAGGUGUGGGUCUCAACCAACGAGAUCCGCGCCGUCGCUAACGCAUUAAGUGCCCCGCCUGGGGAGUACGGUCGCAAGACUAAAACUCAAAGGAAUUGACGGA